UACGUAGGCAGCGAGCGUUGUUCGGGAUUACUGGGCGUAAAGAGUGUGUAGGCGGUGCUCUAAGUUCGGUGUGAAAUCUCCUGGCUUAACUGGGAAGGUGCGCCGGAAACUGGAAUGCUUGUGCGUGGGAGAGGUAAGCGGAAUUCCUGGUGUAGCGGUGAAGUGCGUAGAUAUCAGGAGGAACACCAAAGGCGAAGGCACUGUCCUGGCAUUCUGCCUGACGCUCAUGGGCGACAGCUAGGGGAGCGAACGGG
rnacentral:rRNA from 1 species